UACGUAGGGUGCAAGCGUUGUCCGGAUUUAUUGGGCGUAAAGAGCGUGUAGGCGCCAGGUAGGUCUGCUGUGAAAACUCGAGGCUUAACCUCGAGCUGUCGGCGGAAACCAUCUGGCUAGAGUCCGGAAGAGGAGAAUGGAAUUCCCGGUGUAGCGGUGAAAUGCGCAGAUAUCGGGAAGAACACCCGCGGCGAAGGCGGU
rnacentral:rRNA from 1 species